CGUGACAACCCAAGAGAUUGGGCGUUCCCCCUUCGGGGGGACAGGGUGACAGGUGGUGCAUGGUUGUCGUCAGCUCGUGUCGUGAGAUGUUGGGUUAAGUCCCGCAACGAGCGCAACCCUCGCCUCUAGUUGCCAGCAUUCAGUUGGGCACUCUAGAGGGACUGCCGGCGACAAGUCGGAGGAAGGUGGGGAUGACGUCAAAUCAUCAUGCCCCUUAUGACCUGGGCUACACACGUGCUACAAUGGGCGGUACAAAGGGCUGCGAACCCGCGAGGGGGAGCGAAUCCCAAAAAGCCGCUCUCAGUUCGGAUUGCAGGCUGCAACUCGCCUGCAUGAAGCCGGAAUCGCUAGUAAUCGCGGAUCAGCAUGCCGCGGUGAAUACGUUCCCGGGCCUUGUACACACCGCCCGUCACACCACGAGAGCUUGCAACACCCGAAGUCGGUGAGGCAACCCGCAAGGGAGCCAGCCGC
rnacentral:rRNA from 1 species